rnacentral:misc_RNA from 1 species
GAUGAAGAACGUAGCGAAAUGCGAAAAGUAAUGUGAAUUGCAGAAUUCAGUGAAUCAUCGAAUCUUUGAACGCACAUUGCGCCCGCCAGUAUUCUGGCGGGCAUGCCUGUUCGAGCGUCAUUUCAACCCUCAAGCCCCCGGGCUUGGUGUUGGGGAUCGGCGUGCCCUCGCGGCGCGCCGUCCCCUAAAUCUAGUGGCGGUCUCGCUGUAGCUUCCUCUGCGUAGUAGCAACACUCGCACUGGAUCGCAGCGCGGCCACGCCGUUAAACCCCCCACUUCUGAAAGUUUGACCUCGGAUCAGGUAGGAAUACCCGCUGAACUUAAGCAUAUCAAUAAGCGGAGGA